rnacentral:sRNA from 1 species
UAAAGAGGAACAAAGGCUAAGUUCGCAACGUCCGUUGCAACACCUUUGUGACCCGCGUCCUGCGGG